rnacentral:rRNA from 1 species
AGUGAACGCUGGCGGUAGGCCUAACACAUGCAAGUCGAACGGCAGCACAGUAAGAGCUUGCUCUUACGGGUGGCGAGUGGCGGACGGGUGAGGAAUACAUCGGAAUCUACUUUUUCGUGGGGGAUAACGUAGGGAAACUUCCGCUAAUACCGCAUACGACCUACGGGUGAAAGCAGGGGAUCUUCGGACCUUGCGCGAUUGAAUGAGCCGAUGUCGGAUUAGCUAGUUGGCGGGGUAAAGGCCCACCAAGCCGACGAUCCGUAGCUGGUCUGAGAGGAUGGUCAGCCACACUGGAACUGAGACACGGUCCAGACUCCUACGGGAGGCAGCAGUGGGGAAUAUUGGACAAUGGGCGCAAUCCUGAUCCAGCCAUACCGCGUGGGUGAAGAAGGCCUUCGGGUUGUAAAGCCCUUUUGUUGGGAAAGAAAAGCAGCAGGUUAAUACCCCGCUGUUCUGACGGUACCCAAAGAAUAAGCACCGGCUAACUUCGUG